CCUGCAGCUCAAACAGGCAGAGCAGAGCCACUUUUCUCAUUAUAAAAAUGUCCACGCACGGACAAAUCACGUGCCCUAACGUCUGAACAUCAGUCGUGGUCAAAGAGGCCCUUUGGUGUCACUUCAGAGGGGAGAAAUAGGCCUCAUUUAGCGUUUCGUCCUCUGUCGCAAACAGCGUGACCUAAUCUGGCUCGGAUCAGCUCAGCUGAACUUGGACCUUCCCUGAAAGCUUCAUCAUAUUUACUGAGACAACAAUCUGUGCCCUGACAGACUGAUUUAAACCUCUAUUUAUAAAAGGAAACGGUCAGGGCUUCUUUGCAAGAAACAAGCUGUGACCCAUCAGGAUAUGAGUGUCUCUGACAGACAGAAGAAGGUGUGGUGACCAAAGUGGGACAGCAAAUACAAGAAGAUUGUACAAAGCAACAGAACAUUCAGUCACAAAACUAACAAUUAGACAGAUGGAUAGAUGGGUAGAUAGAAUAAAAGAUUAAACGAUAGUCAUUUGCAAGUUUGAACACCA